UCAAAUACUCUCAAUUUUUACUCAUAGAUUUAAUAUCUGUUAGGAACUGUUUAAAUGAAAAAAAACUAAAUAAACAAAUGAAUGAACAACUAUACUUAUUUUCUCAAUAAAUGAUAGGUUGUGUUUCAUAGCAUUAUUAUUUAUGUAGAUUCUCUUCAGUUGACGGUGUGAUUCUGGGUUCCUGCGUGAGAGACGGGAGAGUCUUAUUUCAGCAGUGUAGUGGGUGAUACGUGAAUACGUUCUUAGCGAUUACUUACUAAAAUCCUUAGUAAUAACAGUACGUUAUUAGGGCAGAUCUGUCUCUAUAAAUCAGGUGUUAUUAUUAUUAUUGUGUCACUAAUGAAUGAAUAGUAACGAGAUAAUGAAUGGUGAGGCCGAGGGGCACCGUAUCCAGGGGCUGAGCCGAGUGAUACGAGGAUGAAUGAAGUGAGUGUGUGUGUGUAUGUAGUUUUGAUUACAGGUGAUCCAGGUGCAUGCACAACCUACAGCGGAGAUGCUUAUUCGAGUGACUACCAGAUAGGACAGCGACGGACUAGGCGGGGUGCCCCCAGUGAUUGCCAGGAACUUCGAUCACAUCUCAUCUGCCGAUUGGAUCACAUCUCAUCUGCCGAUUGUUGCCUCUGACUGCAAGUUUACGUACCACACCCGUAAGCAGCAACAACAACAAGAUCCUCCGGUACACCAGCAACAACAGGUGCAGCAGCUACAAGAGCAGCAGUUAUAACAACAACAGGAAUAGCAAGUAAAUCAAGAGCAAUUACGUUACUAUGAAAUUAUACUAGAAAGUGAGCAUCCCGUAUAAUCUAAUAAAAGAAAAGUUCUGUUGGCCUGUGAUGAGGUCUCGACAAAGCAAUAACGAAUAUGUUCAGAGCAUAAUAUUGACAAUAGCAACAAAGUAUACUUUAUUUAUUUCUACAUAUUCUUGUAAUUUAUAUUACAUGCAUA